GAUUGGGGGAAUGAGAAUUGCGGCUGGGAGGGUUAGAGUCACUGCUUGGUGAUGGAGGGCAAUAAUAAUAGGUCUUCUAAUUUUCAAUAACUUUGAUGCUGGAAUUCCGAUGUCCCGUACUGGUCCUCCGCCUGUGACUGAGGGACCCUCUCUGUCACCAUCGUUGAACGAAGGCAAUGUUUUGCAAUAAAUUUUUAAACCCGGUUAUCUACUGUCGUCUUAGAUGCAAUGUGGCAAAUGAAUUUGAGAUCAAAUGAAACAAUGGAAUCUGGGCCUUAUCCUGAGCGUCCUGGAGAGCCUGAUUG
rnacentral:misc_RNA from 1 species